CGUCAGGAUCUUAUGUCUGAAAAGUGUUUUGAAGGGUUAAAAAAUGCUAAGAAAAGGAAAAAUGGAAUAAUUCCAUAUUUCCGUAACAAUACAAUGUAAAGCAUAGGAGUUAGAGAUUGAACAGAUCUUUUAGAUAAUCGUGACUCUUUCCCUGCCAGUGCAGGACUCUACUUACAGGACAUUUUUCCGUGUUUUGUAGUCUUAUUUUUAAAUAUGACAAGCAAAGGGAUUUCCUUCACUCCCCUUGGGAGAUAGCUCCACAGCCUAAAUAACUUUUGCUGAUGGGAAGUUCCUCCCAAUUUCCCAAAUUUCAGUUUCAUCCCACUACUCCUAGUUACGCAUUCUUAUAUGACCCAAAAUGAUUGUGCAAUAAAAUAAUACCAAUUGUGCCUUUGGAUUUCAUUUCUCUCUGCUGUCCACUUGCAAGUUUCCUUCACUUUGCUUGCUGGCUGCUGGCACUCUAGGAGAGACAUGCUGUUUUGUUUAAAUCCUCCACAUUCUUUGCUGUGCCAUUUCCCCAUUGGCCGGAUGGGGCCAUCCUUCCUGCUGUGGCUGCUGAUGUCAGAUAUACACUCAGACCCAAGCUGAGGCUGCUGCUGCAGAGACUCCUCAGUUCUGCUAGCUACAACUCACACACACGGAGCUGUGGUGGGGGAAACCCAAGCCCUAGGAAGGAUCAAAGGUGUGUGUGUGGGGAAAUAUCAGGCAGCAGAUCCAGUCUCUCCCCCACAGUGCAGAACUAGUGCGUGCAUAAUAGCAGCUGUAAUACGGAGAGGAAGAGGGAGCCGUGUUUAUCAGCCUGGAAAGGAAACGUUGUAAAGCCUUUGUCCUGGAAGUAAGCAUCUCAUCCUUGCUGCUGCCACUGCUCCAAUAUACUGCUGCCGGUGACAUUAAUAUUUGAGGCUGGUUGUUUUGGGGUUGGUUUGUUUUUGAUUGCUCCAGGCAUGUCUUGAUAUAGCUGAAAAGGAACUGUCAUUUUAAUACAUUUCCAACGGAUGUCUUUGACUUUAAAGAUCUCAUUUGAUGUUUGAGACUUCUUUGUGUGUAUGUAUGUGUGGGAAAUUCACAUGAUCUCAGUUUGAAGGAGGAAGAACUGGAAGAAAGGAGCAGUUGUAUUGGUUUUUCUUCUUGCUGGGUCAUCCCUCCUAGAUGGUAGUGUUGGGGUCUUUUGAGCACAUUGUCAAGUACACACUCAACCAGGGGUUUGAUUCAUUUUUCUGUGGUUUUGUUUUUGCCGUGAUCAGAGUGCAGAAAUAACCACUCUUCUCCAGCUUUGCUGGUUUGCAGCAGAAAUAUGCUCUUGAAGGAGUACCGGAUCUGUAUGCCUUUGACAGUUGAAGAGAUUAAUCUGUUGAAGCACUGACGUGCUUGGCAGAAAUGAAUUAAUGGCUAAUUACUGAUCUACACACUCUCCGGGCCUCCACUUUAUACAUCUUUUUUACUCUCCAAAAGAAAGCAUUGUAAAAGACUCACGUGGACAAGCAGAUCUGAUCUGAUAUCUCAUGGUCAGUCUUAUCUGCUUACAUCAAAAAGCCUUCAUUAGAACAUGACCUCAGAUUGACCUUGAAGAUGACAAGCUAGGGAGAACAGUUGUAACCAUAUAAUAGCUAAAGCAUGUGAAGCUAUUACUAUAUAGGUCCUGCAAAGAGCCCGAAAUAAAUUGACUUCUAGUAAUAACUAUA